rnacentral:rRNA from 1 species
AACGAACGCUGGCGGCAUGCCUAACACAUGCAAGUCGAACGAGACCUUCGGGUCUAGUGGCGCCCGGGUUCGUAACGCGUGGGAACCUGCCCUUAGGUUCGGCAUAACUCUCCGAAAGGGGUGCUAUUACCGGAUAAUGUCUUCGAACCAAAGAUUUAUCGCCUUUGGAUGGUCCCGCGUUGGAUUAGCUAGUUGGUAGGGUAAAAGCCUACCAAGGCGACGAUCCAUAGCUGGUCUGAGAGGAUGAUCAGCCACACUGGGACUGAGACACGGCCCAGACUCCUACGGGAGGCAGCAGUGGGGAAUAGUGGACAAUGGGCGAAAGCAUGAUCCAGCAAUGCCGCGUGAGUGAUGAAGGCAUUAGGGUUGUAAAGCUCUUUUACCCGGGAUGAUAAUGACAGUACCGGGAGAAUAAGCUCCGGCUAACUACGUG